GACGAACGCUGGCGGCGUGCUUAACACAUGCAAGUCGAACGGAAAGGCCCUGCUUUUGUGGGGUGCUCGAGUGGCGAACGGGUGAGUAACACGUGAGUAACCUGCCCUUGACUUUGGGAUAACUUCAGGAAACUGGUGCUAAUACCGGAUAGGAGCUCCUGCUUCAUGGUGGGGGUUGGAAAGUUUCGGCGGUUGGGGAUGGACUCGCGGCUUAUCAGCUUGUUGGUGGGGUAGUGGCUUACCAAGGCUUUGACGGGAAGCCGGCCUGAGAGGGUGACCGGCCACAUUGGGACUGAGAUACGGCCCAGACUCCUACGGGAGGCAGCAGUGGGGAAUAUUGCACAAUGGGCGGAAGCCUGAUGCAGCAACGCCGCGUGCGGGAUGACGGCCUUCGGGUUGUAAACCGCUUUCGCCUGUGACGAAGCGUGAGUGACGGUAAUGGGUAAAGAAGCACCGGCUAACUACGUG
rnacentral:rRNA from 1 species